rnacentral:lncRNA from 1 species
AAUUUUUUAAAACAUACUAUUUGAUUAAAGUUAUAAAUAAAUUAGAAUAAAAGUUAAGAGUAUUUAAUAAAAACGUUAAGAUAUUAAUUACAGCAAUUCUACUCUACCUCACGUGCCAUGCGCGCGCGAGGGUGUAUGUAUAUUUUUAUGUAUGUGAAAAGGCGGGAUAAGCGGAGGUCGCCAUUGUGAAAUAAAUAGAAGAAAAGGCGGGAUAAAAGAAUGCAUUGUAGACAUUUUGCUGAGAAUAUUUAAAUCAUUUGCGAUUAUUGCAUAAUUUAAUAUGAACAAAUUAGAUCAUUAUAAUAAGAGUAAAGAGACAGAUGUUGAGAUGUCUGCUUUAGAAGUAUCCAGCGAGUCAAAUAAAACAGCAGGCAAAAGACAACGUGCGAUAUCUUCUGAAGAUGAAACAUUACCUACAAAGAAGCCUCGCAAUUCUACAGAACAAGAAGUACCAGCUUCAAAUGGAUCAACGUCGCAUGAUGCAAAUGAUGAUGCGAAGAAAGAAAUAAAAGAAAAUACUAGCUCAACGAAUAAUCAGGAAAGCAUAUCUUUAUCGACUAAUAAUAUCAAUAAGAAAUCUAAUGAAGAAGAAGAA